UUACUCUCAGAGAGGACUUUUAUAGGAUUUAAACUUUAUUAUUAUUAUUAUUGUAUUUGUCUCGACUGUGUUCACGUUGUUCCGUCGGGCUGUGAACCGUCAGUGAGGGUCCCGGUGCGGAGAAAGAGCUCCGUACCUCCGACUGUAGUUCAGUAUCGCUUCUCGGCCUUUUGGCUAAGAUCAAGUGUAGUAUCUGUUCUUAUCAGUUUAAUAUCUGAUACGUCCCCUACCCGGGGACCAUAUAUUAAAUUGAUUUUUGGAACUGGGAGAUGGAAUAGGGGCUUGCUCCGUCCACUCCACGCAUCGACCUGGUAUUGCAGUACUUCCAGGACCGGUGCACC